CAGGCAGGCAUGCGGUGUGGUCACAGUCGCAUCAGCAGCGCUCGCCCCGGUAGGAUGGCGCUCGCCAAACCGAACUCGCACCUUAUUCAAUUGCAGACCCCUUCCUGUUAGCGUUUGCUCACAUGACAGCAAAUGGAUUCUGCUGGCUGCUGCUGGCAUAAGCAUCAGAAAUAGUUUCGAGCUUGCAGCUAAAGAAUGGAACUGGCAGUGUGAG